GAUGAACGCUGGCGGCGUGCCUAAUACAUGCAAGUCGAACGAAACUUCUUUAUCACCGAGUGCUUGCACUCACCGAUAAAGAGUUGAGUGGCGAACGGGUGAGGAACACGUGUGCAACCUGCCCAAAAGAGGGGGAUAACACUUGGAAACAGGUGCUAAUACCGCAUAACCAUAGUUACCGCGUGGUAACUAUGUAAAAGGUGGCUAUACUACCGCUUUUGGAUGGGCCCGCGGCGCAUUAGCUAGUUGGUAGGGUAAAGGCUUACCAAGGCAAUGAUGCGUAGCCGAAUUGAGUGGUGGAUCGGCCACAUUGGGACUGAGACACGGCCAAAACUCCUACGGGAGGCAGCAGUCGGGAAUCUUCCACAAUGGGCGAAAGCCUGAUGGAGCAACGCCGCGUGGGUGACGAAGGUCUUCGGAUCGUAAAACCCUGUUGUUAGAGAAGAAAGUGCGUGAGAGUAACUGUUCACGUUUCGACGGUAUCUAACCAGAAAGCCACGGCUAACUACGUG
rnacentral:rRNA from 1 species